AUUGAACGCUGUCGGCAGGCCUAACACAGAAUGAAGGUAAGGAGUGGGGACGGGUGAGUCACACGUGGGUAACCUCCCAUCAGAGGGGAUAACACUUGGAAACAGGUUCUAAACCGAUCCUGGUGGUUGGACCCGCGGGUCCUUAGCUAGUUGGUGAGGUAACGGCUAACCAAGGCAACGAUGAAUAGCCGACCUGAGAGGGUGAUCGGCCACACUGGGACUGAGACACGGCCCAGACUCCUACGGGAGUCAGGAGUAGGGAAUCUUAGGCAAUGGACGAAAGUCAGACCAAGCAAAGCCGCGUGAGUGAAGAAGGUUUUCGGAUCGUAAAACUCUGUUGUUAGAGAAGCGGUAUCUAACCAGAAAGCCACGGAUAACUACGUGCCAGCAGCCGCGGUAAUAC
rnacentral:rRNA from 1 species